rnacentral:tRNA from 1 species
GUCAGGAUGGCUGAGUGGUCUAAGGCGCUUCGUUCAGGUAUAAGUCUCCAUUGAAGGAGUGGGUUCAAAUCCUGCUUCUGACA